GCCUACGGGAGGCAGCAGUGGGGGAUAUUGCACAAUGGGGGAAACCCUGAUGCAGCGACGCCGCGUGGGCGAAGAAGUAUUUCGGUAUGUAAAGCCCUAUCCGCAGGGAAGAAGAAAUGACGGUACCUGAGUAAGAAGCACCGGCUAAAUACGUGCCAGCAGCCGCGGUAAUACGUAUGGUGCAAGCGUUAUCCGGAUUUACUGGGUGUAAAGGGAGCGCAGGCGGCACGGCAAGCCUGAUGUGAAAGCCCGCGGCCCAACCGCGGGACUGCAUUGGGAACUACCGUGCUGGAGUGCCGGAGAGG
rnacentral:rRNA from 1 species